GGUGCUCUGACCGACUCCUGAGUCACUCCCGCCACUUCCAUGGCUAUUUUUAUAGUCACAGAAAUCUGACAGAUCUUCAGAUAGCCUGACAUUCACAACCAUUUUUAUUUCUCCUAUUUGUUUCUCCAGCUUCGAGGAUCACCAUUCUCUGAAUCCUGGCUUGCAAAACAAAUCUGUGUUAAGAUUGCACUUCUUUUCUUGCACUGCUGCCAAUUACCUCAAGCUUCCAUUUGGCAAGCUGGUGCUUCCACUGCCACUGUCUUCUCCCAGGUCUUCCAUGGAGGCAGCUGCCUGAGAAGAUGAACCACGGUGUGAUGAACCAAAUUCUGGCUCCCAGAUUGUUCAUCCUGCUUUAAAAAGGCAGCGCUUUCAAACAGUUGAGUACAUAAGUGGAAUAUCAAAACCUUGGUAAGAGUUGGGGGCAGAGGGUGGGGAAGAGGAAGAACGUAUUGUUUGCCCAGAAACAGAGAAACAAAAUGCCUCCAGAGCUCGGGGGUGCGUCUGGAUCUGAUGCCUUGUGUUCGUCAGCACAUCCAGACCUUGAGGAGCAGCAGGUGGGCAGCGCAGUCCUCUCAUCGGGCUGAGCAGUACCUAACGUUAACCACAGAAUUCUUCACCAGGUCUGAAUAGUGCUGCUAUUGCCGUCACCCUAUUACUGUCCACUCUUCUGAGAGCACGGAGUAUUUGCUCAUGUGGUGCUUUGUUAAAUGAAACCUUUUUGAACUGCCCAGUCACAGCGAAACGUGGAGAAAUAUUCUGAAAUAAUGAACGUUGCACGCAUCUGCGUGCAUCUGCGUUUGUAAUGCCAGCAGAAAACCACCCCCGCGGCAGUGGGGCAGCCAGGAUGCUGUGAGCACCGGCGGGCACCAGGCGGCUCCACGGGAGCGUCCAUCCCGCUCUGAGCUGCGGGAGAGCCGAUUUGCAGCUCCGGGAACAGUCGCAUAUAGACAGAGCCCAGCCUGAUGCAAACCUCAGAGAAAGGAUAGAUGAAGGAAGAGAAGAGGUACUCAUCUACGCCCUCAGUUCUUCAAGGGUUUGAAAAAA
ensembl:lncRNA